GAUGAAGAACGUAGCGAAAUGUGAUACUUGGUGUGAAUUGCAGAAUCCCGUGAACCAUCGAGUUUUUGAACGCAAGUUGCGCCCGAAGCCGUUAGGCCGAGGGCACGCCUGCCUGGGUGUCACAAAUCGUUGCCCCAAUGCCAAUCGCCUCACUUUGUAGGUAUUUGCUUGGGGUGAAUGUUGGCCUCCCGUGAGCUUUGUCUCACGGUUGGUUGAAAAUCGAGUGCAUGGUGUCGGGUGUACCAUGAUGGAUGGUGGUUGAGUGAUGAUGCUCGAGACCAAUCAUGGGUAACUCCACCAGAAUUGGGCUCGGUGACCCACAUGCGUCCCUUGGAUGCUCCCUAAGGAGACCUCAGGUCAGGCGGGGCUACCCGCUGAGUUUAAGCAUAUCAAUAAGCGGAGGA
rnacentral:misc_RNA from 1 species